AUUGAACGCUGGCGGCAGGCUUAACACAUGCAAGUCGAGCGGGGUGAUGGUGCUUGCACUAUCACUUAGCGGCGGACGGGUGAGUAAUGCUUAGGAAUCUGCCUAUUAGUGGGGGACAACAUCUCGAAAGGGAUGCUAAUACCGCAUACGUCCUACGGGAGAAAGCAGGGGAUCACUUGUGACCUUGCGCUAAUAGAUGAGCCUAAGUCGGAUUAGCUAGUUGGUGGGGUAAAGGCCUACCAAGGCGACGAUCUGUAGCGGGUCUGAGAGGAUGAUCCGCCACACUGGGACUGGAACACGGCCCAGUCUCCUACGGGAGGCAGCAGUGGGGAAUAUUGGACAAUGGGGGGAACCCUGAUCCAGCCAUGCCGCGUGUGUGAAGAAGGCCUUAUGGUUGUAAAGCACUUUAAGCGAGGAGGAGGCUCUUUUGGUUAAUACCCAGAAUGAGUGGACGUUACUCGCAGAAUAAGCACCGGCUAACUCUGUGCCAGCCGCCGCCGUAA
rnacentral:rRNA from 1 species